UCACAUAGAACCCGGGGAACAUAGGACCCGGGGAACAUGGGGAUGACCCUCAGCUAGUCUGGGGCUUAGAUAAUGCUGACGUUUUUCCAUACUUCUUAAUUUUCCAACCAUCCGUGCCAUUUGAUUGAUUGUACGAAUUCAACAUAAAAUGAAGAUUAAUUAAAAGAUGGAACUUCAACGUGUUUUUCAUACACGUACAACACAAAUCAUAUUAUACUACUCCGUAUCCAUAAUCCGACUCUUGACACCGCAUGGUUAGCUUGCUAACAAGGCAAGUCGGGAGCUUUAAUACUGAAAUCCAUGCGUUGUUUGCAUUAUGUAAUAGCAUUAAACAGUUUAAUAUGUACACAAGGGAAUCGCAUGAUAGGAAUAUAUAUAUUCCGAUAAUCUGAUCAGAAGUGUCCCUGUAAACGCGGCUAGCGACUCAAAAUGAAGACCAUACAUUGUCUUUGGACUAGAUAUAUAGGACAUGCCUUCUUGUAUUGGAUUUCAGUGAUUCUUGUAUUUAAUGUGAGCAUCUUUAUUUUCUAAAGAAACGGCUUUAUUGUUGAUUAACCAUGCAGUAAAGUUCACGAUCUGCUGCUUUUCUUUACAGUAAUGUUACCCCCUUGAGUCGUGGUUCUGGGUUCACUUCCUGUCUUUCUCCUUAUCGGAGCUUGACAAUACCAGGUUGCUGGUUCAAGAAUGAUCUGGAGCUGUAAGUUGUGCGCAGCUUCUUUCACCUCCAGAAUACAGUUAUUUAGACACUACAGGCUGCAGCACAGCCACUAUUCCAGAAUCAGCCCUCUUCCAUGCCUCUACACUGAUUGCAUUUGUACAUUUCAGACACUUAAUGCACUCAGUACUCAUCUGUCAAGAUAUCAUACAGCACAAUCUAGCAGUUGUGCAGAGCAGAGUCAGGGGACUGUGUUAUUUAAAUGCUCUUUAUGCACAUAUCAGCAACCCUUUUCUAAAUCAGACGUUUUCAGUCAUCUCAGAAAGCAUUUGAAAAAUCAUGAAACAGUGACGUGCCCAUAUAAGGAUUGUAGCUAUCGCACAAAUGUGUACUCCUCAUUUAAUUCCCAUAAAAGUAGAGCACACCAAGAAGGUCUUGCAUCAGACUUUCAAACUGAUAUUGUCAGUGAGGAUCCCCAUAAUCUUCAAGCCAGUAUUUCUGAGGGAAAUAAUGAUUUCCAUGAAGAAUGCCCAGGCCCGAGCAGAGAAGUGGGGAAUGAUGAUCAGUGUGACACUGGCAGUCUAAGAAAUCAACUUAAAAAAAAUGUAUCUUCCUUAUUCCUAAAGAUGCAGGCUAUCCUCCAUGUCUCAAACACAGCUACUCAGGAAAUAGUAGACCACUUGAAUGACAUCUUCUCCUUAUCUGAGCCGUUGAUCAAAGAGGCAGUUAGUGACAUACUGCAAAGAAAUGGUCACAUUAUUACAGAACCUACACUUAGUGAAGUUGUUGCGGCUGUCAUGGACUGCAAUGUUCUGUCUACAUCAACCUCUAAAGGUGCCGAGUUGAGUUCACACAAGCGUAGAAAAACCUUUAUUGAGCGCAACUAUCCUUGUGUUAUGCCAGUGGAGUAUCAGUUGGAGGAACCUGGACAUACCAGCAUGUAUGUUCCUAUCCUUUCAAUGAUUCAAGAGCUUUUUAAAAACACAGACAUUCUUAACAAGAUUACUGAAAAAAAUACUGCAUCUGGUCAAUAUGUAUCAUGCUCCAAUGGCUCUCAUUUCCUUGAAAAUGAGUUGCUGUCAACAGGGGAUCUCACCCUACCACUCCAGCUAUAUAUUGAUGAUCUUGAAAUUUGCAAUCCGCUUGGCACAUCGCGCAAAAUUCACAAAUUUUGCGCUGUAUAUUGGGUCCUCGCUAAUGUGCCACCAAAACACAGGUCAGCAUUACAUGCUAUACAGCUAGCAAUACUGGUAAAAGUGACAGACGUCCGCAAGUAUGGAUAUGCAGCUGUACUUGCUCCAUUGCUGCGUGAUGUUCAUACCCUGGAAAAUGACGGUGUCUUCAUCGAAAGCAUUGGUCAGAAUGUCAAAGGCACUGUCUUUUGUGUUUCUGCUGACAAUUUGGCUGCUCAUGGAUUAGGUGGCUUUGUAGAGUCAUUUAGAACAGGCCAUGUUUGCAGAUUCUGUAUGGGCUCAGUUGAACAGUUUCAAGUAACUGAAGUCAGAGAGAGAAAGUUUCCUCAGCGAACCAAAGCUAGCCAUGACCUACAUGUGCAAACUGUGCAAGAAAGUGACACUUUAAGCAGCCACUUUGGUGUUAAAGGUGGCUGUGCCUUGCGAGAAUCCCUGAAUUACUUCCAUACAAUCACAGGGUUUCCUCCUGAUAUACUCCACGAUCUUCUGGAAGGUAUCGUUCCCAUGGAGCUUUCUCUUUGUAUUAAAGAGAUGAUCCGGCGGAAGUACUUCACUUUGGAAUAUUUGAACAACAAGAUUAAAUCAUUCCCAUAUCAGCAUGCUGAUAAAGUGGAUAGACCUCAGCCACCUCCCAAAACGUUUCUUUCUCGAGGAACAAUUGGAGGCAAUGCACAUGAAAAUGCCACUCUCCUCCGACUUCUUCCAUUGCUUGUUGGCAGUGUAGUACCAGAAGGUGAUAAGGCAUGGGCAGUUUUGAUGGAGCUGAAAGAGGUGGUACAGUUAGCAUUGUGCCCAUCAUUUACAGAUGAAACCUUGGACUAUUUUGAGUGCAAAAUCAGUGAUCAUAGACAGGCACUGCUAGAGGUUUUCCCUGAGGUUAGGCUCCGUCCUAAACAUCAUUAUGUGGAGCACUAUCCUGCUCUUGUCAAGUGCUUUGGGCCCCUGCUGCACGUUUGGACCAUGCGGUUUGAGGCCAAGCACCGCUUUUUCAAAAGAGUGGUGCAUGACGCUCAAAAUUUUAAAAAUAUUUUGAAGACAAUGGCAAUCAGACACCAACACAUGAUGGCAUAUCAUCUUGCUGCACCAUCAUUUUUCAAGCCAAAAACUCAGGCAUCCAGGAUUGAGUCUGUUCUGGUUUCAACUCUACCAGAGGUUGCUCAAGUACACAUUAGAGAACAAACGACUAGUGACACUAUCUACAAGACAUCAAAUGUGACCAUUGAUGGAACAGACUAUGUCUGUGGAAUGUUUCUGUCUGUAGGAGACAGCGGUGGACUGUCAAAAUUUUGCAAAAUAGAACAGAUCCUCCUUGUAAAUCCUAAUGUAUCUUUUCUGUGUCUUGAGUAUGACUCCUGGUAUGUAGAACAUCUACUGUCCUAUGAGCUGUCAACUGCAAAUACAAGCCUGUCGAUCUACCUGCAUUCUUGUCUGAAUGAUACAGUCCCUCUCGCAGCAUACAAAGUAGACGGCUCGCUGCUGCUGACCCUCAAGCGCUUCAUUGAAGUGAGACAGAACUGAGUUCAGCACAAUGGCAGCUGCAUCCCCACAAAUGAUUCUUCGUGUUGUUGAGCAAGACCAGGCUAGAAAAUUGAAACUCAGCUCACGACCAGCCAGUGUUGAUGCACUGAUCAACAUUAUAAAAGAACAGCUGGACAUCGACCUUGACUUUGAUUUGCUUUAUGAAGAUCCAGAUUUCGACGGGAAACUUACUUCCCUUGCAGACAUUGAGGAAUUGCCACAAAAAGCUGUUGUGCACAUCUCACUUUCACAAGACUCCAGCUCUAUUGCAUCUACUGUUCAACUUUCAGAUGUGUCAUCUCCAGAGCGUCUCAGCAGGUGGCCUCCAGGUCCUUUUCCAGUUCCAACAUUUGCAUUUGAUGUAGAACUGAAACUUAGAGAUGGAAAUGCGGAAUAUGAGAAGAACAACACACACCUUAAGCUGACAAGAGACCUAAAGCACGACAUUUUAGACAAGCUUGCAUCUAUUCUGUAUGGUUUUAAGGCUUACCCAGGCGAUAAAGAGAUCGCAAUGGUUGCUGAGGCUCUUGUAGCCAAACAUCCCUGCUUGAAGGAAGCGGGAUCUGAGACUGGCUGGACUGGAUGGAAAUACAGCAUAAAGUUUAAGAUGGGCAAUUAUAGGACCAAGAUGAGGCGGGCUGGAUGUCAAGAGGUCACUGUAAAUUCUGGAAAAAGAAGUAGCACUAAUCCUGAAAAUGAACCUUCACAUUCCAACAUUAAAAGACCCAAGCGAGCAGAAGUCAACUUCCUACCUAACUUUGCCCAAGGAAAGGAUCCUUCAAGCCUUGAGCAGUUGAGGCAGACAAUUGUUGAAGAGGUCAAGAAGACGGAGAAGAACCUGCCCCUCAUUAGAAAAAUGAUGGAGACCACAUUUCCCCUACGCCGACAGACCAUAGUGAUGUCCUCCCCACCAGUCAACGAGCUUAUGGACCUCUGGCCUGCUCUCAAAAUAGAGUCUGAGUUGUAUGCAGAGUUCCAGCGGAUUACGAAUCAGAACCUGCCCAACACUUUCUAUGCUGAGCUCGAUCGUCAUCUUCCUCGACUGAUGACCUUAUUCAGACAGAAGGCAUCAAAAACUGGGAAGACAGCAGAUGCUCUGGCUGAAAUUUUAAAAAUCCACGAUGAACAGGAAAUCCAUGACAUCCACACCAAGCGCACUACGGUCCUCCACUGCCUUCCUGUAUAUCUGCGCGAGGACGUUUCCGGAUUUUUCAGAACCUGCACAGACGAGUCUGAGCCAGAGCUUCAAAGUGUUGCAGUGGGCCUCCUUACCGUCAUCAGUGACCAUGCCACAUUUGAAAGUCCGGUUCACUACGACCCUGUGAGAAUCACUGUCAUCCUUGAAAGUGCUGCCAUGGUCGGCCUCCCAAGACUAGGCGACGCCUUCCUGGUAAUGUUUGGAAUGAUAUAUGCACUACAUCUCAGCUAUCCAAAAGCACUGACCAACACUUUUGAAUUCAUUCAAAAGAUUUUACUUGGUCUAGAUGGUGGUAAACUGUCACCCAGGUUGCAGACCCUCAAGAAUGACUUGAUGUAGAAAUGUAUCUGAAAGAACGCUGCAGGCUUACCAGGCAUUAUAAAAGGCUAGUUCAAAGUUUUCCUUUUGUCUAAAUAAUGUCUCAAAAAGUUACUGCACUAUGCAGGUGUUCAGCCAAUUUACCCAAACUACACAAUAUGCCUGUUUUCAUUAAAGUGUAAUUCCGGAGAAAAUUGAA